rnacentral:rRNA from 1 species
UACAGAGGUCUCAAGCGUUGUUCGGAUUCAUUGGGCGUAAAGGGUGCGUAGGCGGCGCGGUAAGUCGGGUGUGAAAUCUCGGGGCUUAACUCCGAAACUGCAUUUGAUACUGCCGUGCUUGAGGACUGGAGAGGAGACUGGAAUUUACGGUGUAGCGGUGAAAUGCGUAGAUAUCGUAAGGAAGACCAGUGGCGAAGGCGGGUCUCUGGACCGAGACUGACGCUGAGGCGCGAAAGCGUGGGGAGCAAACAGG